ACUUCGUUUCAUCACGGGUGAUGGCGUGCCUUUUGUAGAAUGAACCGGCGAGUUACGUUCCCGUGCAAGGUUAAGGUGAGAAGCCGUAGCCGCAGCGAAAGCGAGUCUGAAUAGGGCGACGAAGUACGUGGGCGUAGACCCGAAACCGUGUGAUCUACCCCUGUCCAGGGUGAAGGUGCGGUAACACGCACUGGAGGCCCGAACCCACGAACGUUGAAAAGUUCGGGGAUGAGGUGGGGGUAGCGGAGAAAUUCCAAUCGAACUCGGAGAUAGCUGGUUCUCCCCGAAAUAGCUUUAGGGCUAGCCUCGGUGGUACAGUCGUGGAGGUAGAGCACUGAUUGGGUGCGGGGCCCGCAAGGGUUACCAAGCUCAGUCAAACUCCGAAUGCCAUAGACUGAUUAACCGGGAGUCAGACAGUGAGUGCUAAGAUCCAUUGUCAAAAGGGAAACAGCCCAGACCAUCAGCUAAGGUCCCCAAGUGUGUGUUAAGUGGGAAAGGAUGUGGAGUUGCACAGACAACCAGGAUGUUGGCUUAGAAGCAGCCACCAUUUAAAGAGUGCGUAAUAGCUCACUGGUCGAGUGACUCUGCGCCGAAAAUGUAACGGGGCUAAACACACCACCGAAGCUAUGGCUUGAUGCAAUGCAUCAGGGGUAGGGGAGCGUUGUAUGUGGGUAGAAGGUGUACCGUAAGGAGCGCUGGACAGCAUACAAGUGAGAAUGCCGGUAUGAGUAACGAAAAGAUCAGUGAGAAUCUGAUCCGCCGAAAGCCUAAGGGUUCCUGAGGAAGGUUCGUCCGCUCAGGGUAAGUCGGGACCUAAGGCGAGGCCGACAGGCGUAGUCGAAGGACAACAGGUGGAAAUUCCUGUACCACCGUAAACCGCUAUGAGCGAUGGGGUGACGCAGCAGGGUAGUGACGCGGACUGAUGGAUGUCCGUCCAAGCAGUGAGAGGGUAGCAUAGGCAAAUCCGUGCUACAUAACCUUGGGCUGUGAUGGGGAGCGAAAAUUGCAGUAGCGAAGGUCAUGAUCUCACACUGCCAAGAAAAGCCUCUAGCCAGGUGAAGGUGCCCGUACCGUAAACCGACACAGGUAGGCGAGAAGAGAAUUCUAAGGCGCGCGGAAGAACUCUCGUUAAGGAACUCGGCAAAAUGACCCCGUAACUUCGGGAGAAGGGGUGCCUCGGUAGGGUGAAUAGCCCGAGGGGGCCGCAGUGAAAAGGCCCAAGCGACUGUUUAGCAAAAACACAGGUCUGUGCGAAGCCGUAAGGCGAAGUAUACGGGCUGACGCCUGCCCGGUGCUGGAAGGUUAAGGGGAGUGGUUAGGGGUAACCCGAAGCUAUGAACUGAAGCCCCAGUAAACGGCGGCCGUAACUAUAACGGUCCUAAGGUAGCGAAAUUCCUUGUCAGGUAAAUUCUGACCCGCACGAAUGGCGUAACGACUUGGGCGCUGUCUCAACGAGAGAUCCGGUGAAAUUUUAAUACCUGUGAAGAUGCAGGUUACCCGCGACAAGACGGAAAGACCCCAUGGAGCUUUACUGCAGCUUGAUAUUGGACUUUGAUACGAUUUGUACAGGAUAGGUGGGAGCCUAGGAAGAGGGAGCGCAAGCUUCCUUGGAGGCGCCGUUGGGAUACCACCCUGAUCGUAUCGGAGUUCUAACCUGGUGCCCUGAUCGGGCAUGGGGACAGUGUCAGGUGGGCAGUUUGACUGGGGCGGUCGCCUCCUAAAGAGUAACGGAGGCGCCCCAAGGUUCCCUCAGAAUGGUUGGAAAUCAUUCGAAGAGUGCAAAGGCAAAAGGGAGCUUGACUGCGAGACUGACAAGUCGAGCAGGGACGAAAGUCGGGCUUAGUGAUCCGGUGGUACCGCAUGGAAGGGCCAUCGCUCAACGGAUAAAAGCUACCCUGGGGAUAACAGGCUUAUCUCCCCCAAGAGUCCACAUCGACGGGGAGGUUUGGCACCUCGAUGUCGGCUCAUCGCAUCCUGGGGCUGAAGUAGGUCCCAAGGGUUGGGCUGUUCGCCCAUUAAAGCGGUACGCGAGCUGGGUUCAGAACGUCGUGAGACAGUUCGGUCCCUAUCUGUCGUGGGCGUAGGAAAUUUGAGAGGAGCUGUCCUUAGUACGAGAGGACCGGGAUGGACGCACCGCUGGUGCACCAGUUGUUCCGCCAGGAGCAUAGCUGGGUAGCUAAGUGCGGAAGGGAUAAGCGCUGAAAGCAUCUAAGCGUGAAGCCCCCCUCAAGAUGAGAUUUCCCAAUUUAGUAAGACCCCUUGAAGACGACGAGGUAGAUAGGCUGGGGGUGGAAGUGCAGCAAUGCAUGGAGCUGACCAGUACUAAUCGGUCGAGGGCUUAUCCAA
rnacentral:rRNA from 1 species